AGUAUGAUUAGGUCUACGUGAUGACGAGUCAGGUCAGGCUCCGCACUGGGUUUGGUCGCCCAGGGGAUGGAGACACGGAAAGGACAUCGUGUGCUAUAAGUCUGACGUAAGUCGAGCUUGCAACAUGGGUCUAUGCCUGGAUAAGUCACGUGGUUGCCCCUACU
rfam:Grapevine Algerian latent virus strain nipplefruit 92K protein, 33K protein, 40k protein, 24k protein, and 19k protein genes, complete cds.